rnacentral:rRNA from 1 species
AACGAACGCUGGCGGCGUACUUAACACAUGCAAGUCGGACGAGAAAGGAGACUUCGGUCUCUGAGUAAAGUGGCGCACGGGUGCGUAACACGUAAGUAAUCUACCCCGAACUCUGGGAUAACUCUCCGAAAGGAGGGCUAAGACCGGAUAGGGUCCCCGAGGUGUAGGCUGCGGGGGGAAAACGGGCCUCUGCUUCAUGCUCGUGGUUCGGGAUGAGCUUGCGGCCCAUUAGCUUGUUGGUAGGGUAAUGGCCUACCAAGGCAACGAUGGGUAGCUGGUCUGAGAGGAUGAGCAGCCACACUGGCACUGAGACACGGGCCAGACUCCUACGGGAGGCAGCAGUGGGGAAUUUUGCGCAAUGGGCGGAAGCCUGACGCAGUAACGCCGCGUGGAGGAUGAAGGCCUUCGGGUUGUAAACUCCUGUCAGGGGGAACGACGGGUGUUAAAUGCAUGCCGGUCUGAGAGUACCACAAGAGGAAGGGACGGCUAACUCUGUGCCAGCAGCCGCGGUAAAAC